rnacentral:rRNA from 1 species
GAUGCAACGCGAAGAACCUUACCUACUCUUGACAUACUAGAAACUUUUCAGAGAUGAAUUGGUGCCUUCGGGAAUCUAGAUACAGGUGCUGCAUGGCUGUCGUCAGCUCGUGUCGUGAGAUGUUGGGUUAAGUCCCGCAACGAGCGCAACCCUUGUCUUUAUUUGCCAUUCUUAAGUGGGGGACUAUAAAGAGACUGCCCGUGAAAAGCGGGAGGAAGGUGAGGAUGACGUCAAGUCAGCAUGCCCCUUAUAUCCUGGGCUACACACGUGUUACAAUGGUUGAGACAAUGAGAAGCGAGCUUGCGAAAGUCAGCAAAUCUCUGAAACUCAUCCCAAGUUCGGAUUGCAGGCUGAAACUCGCCUGCAUGAAGCUGGAAUCGCUAGUAAUCGGAUAUCAGCCAUGAUCCGGUGAAUACGUUCCCGGGCCUUGUACACACCG